AGAGAACUGAACAGCACAUCACAUAAGGGGUGCAAGUAAACAUCUUCUUUGGACAGAUGACGAGAACAAAAGCUGAAAAUCCCUGUGCUGCUGCAUCACAUGGAGCUGAGCAGAUUUGCAGCUGGAUAAAUGACAAAGGACUCUGAUACCAAAGUUUUGGUCAUGUGUACUGAUGAUAUAUAUAGGCCCAUGCCCUUUAGGAGGAAGGUAGCAUUUACUGCAGGGGUGAAGGAGGGAAGGAAAAUUGGGCAAUUGAAGAAAAUAGUCUGUAACUGAAGCAUGUACCUUCACUCCCCCAAGAGGGACAUAGUCUUCACGCUUGCUUCACAUAGUGUUUGGGUGUGCCUCCGCCUGGAUAGCCACUCUUUGCCAGUCUCAUAGUCCAAAGCUUCUGAAGCAAGCCCAUGGCUAUUCCAGAAUGCUGGGGUGGCUUCCCAGCACAGAAUGCAGCUGUCUAAUACUGCAACAAAUGGUGUCAGGAUCCCGAGGCAUCUUAAACACUCAACUUCCAGUGCUCACUGUGCACCAGACUGAAAAACCCACACACCCUGAAGCUGCACAUUCUCCUCCUGCUUCCUCAGGCAUUUAACAAUUUGCUGGGCAAUCAAGAUUAUAACCACAGAUAACCUCUCUGCUUAUGAGAAACUGCUGCUGGGUAAAAGGCUGGCUGCACAAAGGUAGGAGAGGUGACCGAUGGAGUAGCUUCCAUCUCAUGGAAGUGUUUGCCCUAACAUUGCUAUUUCAGAACCAUCUAGUGUGCAACUGACAUCGGAUACCUCACAGCACCUCUAGAGAGGAACAGGACACGUUGCAGAGAUUCAGACCAUCUGUUUGAGGGCACGUCUUAUUCCAAAUCCCAAGCUUUUUUCUAGUUUUCUGCUGAACUUUCUUUCAACAGAACACUGUGCGAGGACAGAGCCAGUACAAGGGGAGGUACGCUCCCAGGAAGGAAGAGGUCAAGCCAAAUAGGAAAAAUUAUCUAACAUUUCAGACAUUAAAAGAAAACAAGUAACAAAUGGUCUCAAAGAGAGGCCAGCACAAAGCAUAGUUGCUCAUCAGUUCCCUUCCAAGGAAUCAAACAACAAGCAUUCAGGGAACAGGGGAGGAAAGAACAGCUCUAAUUUAUUUUUCCUGCUGGUAUUCCUUCUCUGAGAUGCUAACCCAGACCAACUGCCAGUCCUUUUCCACUCUAUCCUGACCCUGUGGCAUCCUCCAGGUAAGGUCUGAUAUGAUCACUGAGCCACUAAAGGGUAGUUAAUGCUCCAGUACAGCACAUACAACAAAAAUUCAUCCUCUCUGAACUAUUGAUUGUGGUUGGUUCACUAUUACUGACCUACUGAUGCUUUUUUCACAUUUUCAAGUUUGGUCUGCAGCAGCUGCAACAGUCAGAACCAUUCUUUGAGGUCUUUGUUUCUUCCUGAAUUUAAAGUUCAGAUUUUUAGGUACUUGUGUAACUCCAGGAACUUGCCCCUUGGAGCUUUUCUAAUCCUGUUCUGUUUGUAAUCCUGCUUUUACCACAUAAACCAUUCAAAAAAUA